CAGUCGCCGCGGGAAUACGAAGGGUGCAAGCGUUAAUCGGAAUUACUGGGCGUAAAGCGUGCGUAGGCGGUGAGUUAAGUCUGCUGUGAAAUCCCCGGGCUCAACCUGGGAAUGGCAGUGGAUACUGGCUCGCUAGAGUGUGUCAGAGGAUGGUGGAAUUCCCGGUGUAGCGGUGAAAUGCGUAGAGAUCGGGAGGAACACCGAUGGCGAAGGCAGCCCCCUGGGCCAAUACUGACGCUCAUGCACGAAAGCGUGGGGAGCAAACAGGAUUAGAUACCCGUGUAGUCCCUGUCUCUUAUAC
rnacentral:rRNA from 1 species